rnacentral:rRNA from 1 species
GAUAGGGCUCGGCUAACUACGUGCCAGCAGCCGCGGUAAAACGUAGGAGCCUAGCGUUAUCCGAAUUUACUGGGCGUAAAGCGCGUGCAGGCGGUUCGGUAAGUUGGGUGUGAAAUCUCCUGGCUCAACUAGGAGAGGUCGCUCAAUACUGUCGAACUGGAGGAUGGUAGAGGGAGGUGGAAUUCCCGGUGUAGUGGUGAAAUGCGUAGAUAUCGGGAGGAAUACCAGUGGCGAAGGCGGCCUCCUGGGCCAUACCUGACGCUCAGACGCGAAAGCUAGGGGAGCGAACGGGAUUAGAAACCCCGGUAGUCCUAGCCGUAAACGAUGUGGACUUGGCGUUGGUGGGGUAAAAUCCAUCAGUGCCGGAGCUAACGCGGUAAGUCCACCGCCUGGGGACUACGGCCGCAAGGUUAAAACUCAAAGGAAUUGACGGGGCCCCGCACAAGCAGCGGAGCGUGUGGUUUAAUUCGAUGUUACGCGAAGAACCUUACCCGGGUUUGACAUACUGGUGGUAGGGAUCCGAAAGGUGACCGACCCUUCGGGGAGCCAGUACAGGUGCUGCAUGGCUGUCGUCAGCUCGUGUCGUGAGAUGUCCGGUUAAGUCCGGUAACGAGCGCAACCCUCGCCGUAUGUUAUAUGUGUCAUACGGGACUGCUGGUAUAAAGCCGGAGGAAGGUGGGGAUGACGUCAAGUCAGCAUGGCCUUUAUAUCCGGGGCUACACACACGCUACAAUGGCCGGUACAAUGGGUUGCAAAACCGCGAGGUGGAGCCAAUCCCCAAAGCCGGUCUCAGUUCAGAUUGUAGGCUGCAACUCGCCUACAUGAAGUCGGAGUUGCUAGUAACCGCAGGACAGCUAUACUGCGGUGAAUACGUUCCCGGGGCUUGUACACACCGCCCGUCACGUCAUGGGAGCUGGCAACACCUGAAGCCGGUAUCCUAACCGCAAGGAGGGAGCCGUCGAAGGUGGGGCUGGUGACUGGGACGAAGUCGUAACAAGGUAGCCAAUCUCUAG